AGCGCUUUGGCUUGCGUCUGUUUAAUUUGUGGGUCAACACUCAAAAGACAGGUGCAAAAAUAAAUCCUCUGUUGCAACCCAGAACUCAGAGUGGAGUGUUGGUUUGGAUACAGAUCAGCAGGGACACA
ensembl:snoRNA